UACUAGUAUUAAAAAAGGAAAACAAGUCAUAUUUCUCCUCCCUCUGCACAAAACAGAUUCACGGCCAUCGUCGCCCCAGCAGUCGCUCCAGAUUCGUGCGUUUUUGACAACACUGGAAGCACUCAAAAUUCGGCUUCAUCAUCCAGACCUGUAGUGGGCCGAGGAUCAUCAAAUGAUAAUAGAAACUAUGCAAGCCAAUCGUCCUUGCCAAAUCAAGACAUAGCCGAACCAUCGGAGUUUGCUGGAAAUCUCGAUUCAGUUCUAUGUCAAUGAAAUACAAGGAGUCCAUUUCAAAAAGUACAAAGGAAUGGAAGGAGGAGCUGUUUUCUCGUAGGUCUUCCAUGGCAGAUAUUGGUUCUGAAGUCAGGAAGGAGGUGAAUGCUGGAAUUGCCACGGUGUCCCGCAUGAUGGACCGUCUUGAAAGUUCUUCGGCCACUGGAUCAAGCAACAUUAGUAGGGAUACUCCCAAUGAUACAUCAUUGAAUGGAAAGGACUCUGCUUCUCUGUUGCUGCAAGUUCAGUAUCAAGUUAAGUUUAUAAUAUGGCUAGGGGUGUCCAUUUCAUCUUUAUGGUUGACCCUGACACAAAGCCACAUUUAUACAUCAUUUCACGAUUUACUUUAGUGCAUUAUGUUAUGAUUGGCUUAGUUUAACUGCUA